GAUGAACGCUGGCGGCGUGCCUAACACAUGCAAGUCGAACGAAGCGCUUUGAAGUUUUCGGACAGAUGAGUGACUGAGUGGCGGACGGGUGAGUAACGCGUGGGUAACCUGCCUCAUACAGGGGGAUAACAGUUAGAAAUGACUGCUAAUACCGCAUAAGCGCACAGUACCGCAUGGUACAGUGUGAAAAACUCCGGUGGUAUGAGAUGGACCUGCGUCUGAUUAGCUAGUUGGUGAGGUAACGGCCCACCAAGGCGACGAUCAGUAGCCGACCUGAGAGGGUGACCGGCCACAUUGGGACUGAGACACGGCCCAAAACUCCCUAACGGGAGGCAGCAGUGGGGAAUAUUGCACAAUGGGGGAAACCCUGAUGCAGCAACGCCGCGUGAAGGAUGAAGGAUCAUGGUUUGUAAAACG
rnacentral:rRNA from 1 species